rfam:Arabis alpina cultivar Pajares chromosome 3, whole genome shotgun sequence.
ACUCCAUGGUGAGAAUGAGACCUAGUGUAACCCUUCAAUCUUUCCCAAGCUUCAGAGAGCUUCGUUUGGACCUUGCUUGAAGCUCGUGAUAUCACUCCUAAUUCU